GACGAACGCUGGCGGCGUGCUUAACACAUGCAAGUCGAACGAUGAAGCCCAGCUUGCUGGGUGGAUUAGUGGCGAACGGGUGAGUAACACGUGAGUAACCUGCCCCUGACUCUGGGAUAAGCGUUGGAAACGACGUCUAAUACUGGAUAUGACUACUGGUCGCAUGGCCUGGUGGUGGAAAGAUUUUUUGGUUGGGGAUGGACUCGCGGCCUAUCAGCUUGUUGGUGAGGUAAUGGAUCACCAAGGCGACGACGGGUAGCCGGCCUGAGAGGGUGACCGGCCACACUGGGACUGAGACACGGCCCAGACUCCUACGGGAGGCAGCAGUGGGGAAUAUUGCACAAUGGGCGAAAGCCUGAUGCAGCAACGCCGCGUGAGGGAUGACGGCCUUCGGGUUGUAAACCUCUUUUAGUAGGGAAGAAGCGAAAGUGACGGUACCUGCAGAAAAAGCACCGGCUAACUACGUGCCAGCCGCCGCGGUAAGAC
rnacentral:rRNA from 1 species